UGCGUAGGCGGUUAGUUAAGUCUGUCGUGAAAUCCCCGGGCUCAACCUGGGAAUGGCGAUGGAUACUGGCUAGCUAGAGUGUGUCAGAGGAUGGUGGAAUUCCCGGUGUAGCGGUGAAAUGCGUAGAGAUCGGGAGGAACAUCAGUGGCGAAGGCGGCCAUCUGGGACAACACUGACGCUGAAGCACGAAAGCGUGGGGAGCAAACAGGAUUAGAUACCCUGGUAGUCCACGCCCUAAACGAUGCGAACUGGAUGUUGGUCUCAACUCGGAGAUCAGUGUCGAAGCUAACGCGUUAAGUUCGCCGCCUGGGGAGUACGGUCGCAAGACUGAA
rnacentral:rRNA from 1 species